rnacentral:rRNA from 1 species
ACGAUGUGGGAAGGCCCAGACAGCCAGGAUGUUGGCUUAGAAGCAGCCAUCAUUUAAAGAAAGCGUAAUAGCUCACUGGUCGAGUCGGCCUGCGCGGAAGAUGUAACGGGGCUAAACCAUGCACCGAAGCUGCGGCAGCGACGCUGAUGCGUUGUUGGGUAGGGGAGCGUUCUGUAAGCCUGCGAAGGUGGCCUGUGAGGGUUGCUGGAGGUAUCAGAAGUGCGAAUGCUGACAUAAGUAACGAUAAAGCGGGUGAAAAGCCCGCUCGCCGGAAGACCAAGGGUUCCUGUCCAACGUUAAUCGGGGCAGGGUGAGUCGACCCCUAAGGCGAGGCCGAAAGGCGUAGUCGAUGGGAAACGGGUUAAUAUUCCCGUACUUGGUGUUACUGCGAAGGGGGGACGGAGAAGGCUAUGUUGGCCGGGCGACGGUUGUCCCGGUUUAAGCGUGUAGGCUGGUUUUCCAGGCAAAUCCGGAAAAUCAAGGCUGAGGCGUAACGACGAGGCACUACGGUGCUGAAGCAACAAAUGCCCUGCUUCCAGGAAAAGCCUCUAAGCAUCAGGUAACAUCAAAUCGUACCCCAAACCGACACAGGUGGUCAGGUAGAGAAUACCAAGGCGCUUGAGAGAACUCGGGUGAAGGAACUAGGCAAAAUGGUGCCGUAACUUCGGGAGAAGGCACGCUGACACGUAGGUGAAGUGAUUUACUCAUGGAGCUGAAGUCAGUCGAAGAUACCAGCUGGCUGCAACUGUUUAUUAAAAACACAGCACUGUGCAAACACGAAAGUGGACGUAUACGGUGUGACGCCUGCCCGGUGCCGGAAGGUUAAUUGAUGGGGUCAGCGCAAGCGAAGCUCCUGAUCGAAGCCCCGGUAAACGGCGGCCGUAACUAUAACGGUCCUAAGGUAGCGAAAUUCCUUGUCGGGUAAGUUCCGACCUGCACGAAUGGCGUAAUGAUGGCCAGGCUGUCUCCACCCGAGACUCAGUGAAAUUGAACUCGCUGUGAAGAUGCAGUGUACCCGCGGCAAGACGGAAAGACCCCGUGAACCUUUACUAUAGCUUGACACUGAACAUUGAGCCUUGAUGUGUAGGAUAGGUGGGAGGCUUUGAAGUGUGGACGCCAGUCUGCAUGGAGCCGACCUUGAAAUACCACCCUUUAAUGUUUGAUGUUCUAACGUGGACCCGUGAUCCGGGUUGCGGACAGUGUCUGGUGGGUAGUUUGACUGGGGCGGUCUCCUCCUAAAGAGUAACGGAGGAGCACGAAGGUUGGCUAAUCCUGGUCGGACAUCAGGAGGUUAGUGCAAUGGCAUAAGCCAGCUUGACUGCGAGCGUGACGGCGCGAGCAGGUGCGAAAGCAGGUCAUAGUGAUCCGGUGGUUCUGAAUGGAAGGGCCAUCGCUCAACGGAUAAAAGGUACUCCGGGGAUAACAGGCUGAUACCGCCCAAGAGUUCAUAUCGACGGCGGUGUUUGGCACCUCGAUGUCGGCUCAUCACAUCCUGGGGCUGAAGUAGGUCCCAAGGGUAUGGCUGUUCGCCAUUUAAAGUGGUACGCGAGCUGGGUUUAGAACGUCGUGAGACAGUUCGGUCCCUAUCUGCCGUGGGCGCUGGAGAACUGAGGGGGGCUGCUCCUAGUACGAGAGGACCGGAGUGGACGCAUCACUGGUGUUCGGGUUGUCAUGCCAAUGGCACUGCCCGGUAGCUAAAUGCGGAAGAGAUAAGUGCUGAAAGCAUCUAAGCACGAAACUUGCCCCGA